rnacentral:rRNA from 1 species
AACGAACGCUGGCGGCAUGCCUAACACAUGCAAGUCGAACGAGACCUUCGGGUCUAGUGGCGUACGGGUGCGUAACGCGUGGGAACCUGCCCUUAGGUUCGGAAUAACUCCCCGAAAGGGGUGCUAAUACCGGACCAUGUCUUCGGCCCAAAGAUUUAUCGCCGUUGGAUGGGCCCGCGUUGGAUUAGCUAGUUGGUAGGGUAAAAGCCUACCAAGGCGACGAUCCAUAGCUUGUCUGAGAGGAUGAUCAGCCACACUGGGACUGAGACACGGCCCAGACUCCUACGGGAGGCAGCAGUGGGGGAUAUUGGACAAUGGGCGAAAGCCUGAUCCAGCAAUGCCGCGUGAGUGAUGAAGGCCUUAGGGUUGUAAAGCUCUUUUACCCAGGAUGAUAAUGACAGUACCGGGAGAAUAAGCUCCGGCUAACUCCGUG